AAUGAACGCUGGCGGCGUGCUUAACACAUGCAAGUCGAACGAUGAAGCCUAGCUUGCUAGGUGGAUUAGUGGCGCACGGGUGAGUAAUAUAUAGAUAAUGUGCCCCUUAGUCUGGGAUAGCCAUUGGAAACGAUGAUUAAUACUAGAUACUCCUUCUUACUCUAAUGUAAGUUGGGAAAGUUUUUCGCUAAGGGAUCAGUCCAUAUCGCAUCAGUUAGUUGGUGGGGUAAUGGCCUACCAAGACAAUGACGCGUAGCGGGUUUGAGAGGAUGAUCCGCCACACUGGUACUGAGACACGGACCAG
rnacentral:rRNA from 1 species